UUACGCCAGAGUAUAAAUAGUUCCGGGCAUUCUGGAAGUGUUAUAAUAUUGCUACGCUAGUUAAGGACAUACAUCAUCCGUCAAGUUGAUAUAAAUAGACAUGGACAGAAACAGAAUGGUGAAAACGUUGUAUGUAUUAUUGUGUUUGUCUCUGUUGAUGGGUGCUGUGACGUCACAAGCUCAAGAGUAUGAAGCUGAAGGAAACCAGGCAACAGGGCCUAGAGGACGGUCGUAUGGUUAUCAGGUCGCACGACCACAACAACCCGACCCGAUUAACAAUAUGAUCUCUACUAUGUUCAUGUAUGAAUGGUUAACCAGGAAAUAAAUGGAAACUAGUCACGAUCGCUAGGACGAUUAUAUAUGUUGGGAUUGUAACGGCGUGUAUUGUGUUAAUGGUGACUAUAUUCUAUUAUGUAAAUAAAGGAAUGGUUCAACUGUAA